rnacentral:lncRNA from 1 species
GAACCAGGAUACAAAUUUCACACCAGUGAACAAAGCUUCAUUGUUCAAUGAAAUAAAUACAAUUUUUUUGAAGACGAUUACAUAGAUGAUGAUGAUGAUGAUGAAAUGGUGUCGCCCCAUAUGAUAAUUAGACGGAGAAUUGCCAGAAGAAUAAUGAAAUUUUUAGUUUAUAUCCGCUAUGGAGGGACGCUCAAGAGAAGGAAUUUGAGUGAAGUAAGGUACUCAAUUCUAAGGAUG